AGUCUUAGAUGGUUUCUAAUAUAUAUUUCUCAUUACAGAUAAGAACAAAGAUUAAAUUGUAAGAAGAGCUGCUUGUAAGAGCAUACAGUACAUCUGAAACUGCUGAGGCUGGGAAGGUUUUUGACUAUAUUUGUCACGAAUCCAGUCUGCACUUCCAUUCACCCUCCACCAGAGGUCACUCGCUCACCACAUGGACUUCACACCAUACAUAACAAUGGACUUCAUUUCCCAUCAUCCAACACUGAUCACAGCUGUCACCAAUCACUCAUUGCACUAAUCACACGCACACCUGAUCCCACGCACACACUGAUCAUACACCUUAUAUAAACCCUGGACUUUGUUUCCCUCGUGGCCGAGUAUUGUAUGCGUUUACCGCUCCCCUAGCCGUAGCUACUCUACAGAGCCCUUGUCAGUAUCAUAGUCUUGGAUUACCUGUUCACCUGUGUUUGUUUCUAACCCGUGUUUCCUGGAUUAACCCUUUCUGUGCCGUUCCGUGUUUCAUUUCAGUUCCUGUAUUGUUCUGUGUUUUUCACUCCCCUAGUGUUAGCUGCGAUAUGGAACUUUUGUUGUUUUCUAGUCUGUUCCUAGUGUUUACCCCCGUCUCCCUGUUCGGACUCUUGAUUAUUUCCCUUGCCUGGAUAUUAGCUCGUGUACCUGAAUUAUCUCUCUGCCGUGUCCCAUUGGAUUCUGUUUGCCGAUCGUUGACCCACGCUUGCCCUAGGUUUACUGUCUUGUCCCUGCCAUACCUGUUUGCCAUUGUUUCGACCCUGCCUGUAUUUAUGACCAUGCCUUUAAAUAAAAGCUUGCACAUGGAUCCGCAUGUCUCGCGUCUCGUCAGCCACGUUACAAUAUUUCCGACCAGAUCAGCUGCUAUAGAAGACAAACUGAAAUCUGAGUGCAGAGACAAGCAAAGGAAUACUGCAAGGCACUUGUGCAAAAUAUUGUAUGCCAGGACGACUAGGCUGUGACGCUCAGCUCCAUCGGCCCUCCAUCUACAUCUUGGCUCCUCCCUCCCUCGACUCCACUGUGUAUUGUCAGCACUGGGAUGCUCUGGGUCUGUGCCAUGUGCCAAACUCCAUCUAAGCCGCCAGGGCAUCAUCGUCAUCCUCCCAUCACCAUCCCUUCACCACAUCCUGCCAUCAUCCCGCACCUUUGCCUCUCACCAUUCCUACACCAUCUCCUCGUCCACCUCCAAAACCCCCUCCAUCUCUCCCUAUUCUGUUGCUUGAACUUUAUCAUCUUCAGUCUUUGCACACACAUCUAUUCACUUCUGCACUGUUUUUCUGUACAUUUUUUUGUUUUGUUUUUUCUUCAGAAAAUUG